rnacentral:lncRNA from 1 species
UAUAUAUAUAUAUUUGGUACGUAUGUAAAUAUUUAUUACUAAAUUAUUUAUAAUUUUUUAAAAUUAUUACUAAUUUGGUUAUUUUAUUUUCUUUAAAUAUUACACUAAUACGUUUAUUUUAUGUUAACAAAAGAAGCCAAAGGUGAACAAGAUCAACUUGGACAAGAAGACUCUUUUCCAUCAUUCUGAUUCGAGGUCCUUCUCCUCUAGGAUAAAGGUGCGACAACAGGUAAUAAAGUGUUUAAUAUUGGCACUUCCAAUUUCUGACAAAUAUAUUUUUUUUUCCACACUAACCUUUUUUUUAUUUUUAUUUUUGUUUCAGGGGGUUCAAAAUUCCCCGAGGUAAACGUCUUUAACGACAUUUAUGUUUGCCCCAGGGAUGAGCUCACCGAGCCACUGCAUGUAAGUAAAAGUUAAUUUUAAAUUAGUAUCUUACGCUUCCAAGUAUUAUAGCAUUUAAUUUAAUAUUAAUUAUUACUAAUCCGAGUUUUAUUGUCAUGGGCAACGAUGGUGGGGAAGAACCAGUCUGUGCUUUAGGAGUCCGCCCGAGGAUGCUGGGUUUCAGAUCCUGACUAAAACCUUGGAUCAGACCCUCAACACAGCCACAAGGCCAAGUCACGGCUUUGAAGCAUUAAGUGGCCAACCUAAGGAGUAAGCUCAAGCUUAUCGUUGAGGCCCUCAACUCGUCUGGCAUCCGUCUCUCACCAGGCAUUGUUGACCUUUUCACCUCCGCGCCCAUCUAUAUAGAGCAGCCCCAAAAUAUGUCGGCCAUCGAACCCCUCCACCCGCAGCAGUCCUAAGACCUGUCGACCUCCAAGCCCAUCUGACAUCUUACCCAGUAGCCCAACUCGUAGCCCUCCUUCCAGCCUGCCCUGUAGCCCACCUUGUUUAAUGACCAAAUAGAUUAUCACUUCCUUUUUUUCUUAGUUUAAAACUUUUGAUUUGUACCUACAUUUAUCUUUGAUUAUAAAUACAUUAUUUUUCAUUCUAUUUAUUAUUGUUACAAUUUAAUUAAAAAAAAUUUAAUUAUUAUUUUAAAUAAAAUAUGUAACCAGAACAAAAAAAAAUUAAUAAAAAUAAAAAAAUUGAACCAUGCAUGAUGGAGACUUCGUCGCGUAAAACCUAAUGCAACAUAAGUUUUUUUGUUGCGCAAUAAUUAUAAUGAUAAUAUUUUAACAAUUUAUUUAUGUUAAAAUUAAUUCAUUUUGUUGCUUUAAUGUUUACUAGACGAAAAAUAUUUGUCGCGCGAAGUUUUAUUCAACGAAGGGCUUGCGUCCCAUUUGUUGUCUUGUAGCGAAAGGCUUAUGUAGCUUUAUUUUUUGCUUGACAAAGUGAUUUAGUCCCCCUAACUUUUGUGCGAUGAAGGAGAGAUUCGUCGCGAACUUUGUUUUUUGGGCGACGAAAUUCAAAAAAUCUUCGCGCAAUGUCAUUUUUCACAACCCUAUCACGACGAACACUGCGUGACGGAAUGCACGUCAUUUAAACAUUACAUAAGACACCACGAAUUUUAGGAGGGAGAAAAAAAAAAAAACCAAAACCUACCACUAAUUAAAUCUUUCAUUCAUGCACCAAAUUCCAUAGCAAAGCUCCAUCUUUUGCUAUGCUUUUUCUCCAUUUUCUUCUGUGUUUCUUGGGUGAGUUUAAAAUGGGUAAGGUUCUUCCUGCACAUAAGGGGAGGUGCGCGGCUCAAGGAUGAAUUCUGCCAGCGCAUGAAUCUAGGCAAACUAGAUUUAAAUCUGGUUGGGUGUGAAGUGUUUUAGUUGGCUUGUAAGGAAAGAUGUAAAGAUUUAUCUCUCACAGCAUUCUCACGCGAGGUUAAAGUUGUGGCUUGAAUUUUGGUGCUCCUAAGCAGCUCAAAAUCUUCACAAAUUAUAAUUCCAAAUAAGCCCAAUGGACUUUUGCAACCGACACACCACAACCCACUCAUCAAUUCCCAUUAUGUGACUUGGGUCCACUUACGAGUGUUAGGUGCUUGGAGUGAUUCGAAUUAAAAUUUUAAUGUAUUAAUAUUACAAGUUUGUUUCUAUAUAGCUUUGCAUAAUGAAUAUGCUUGGUUUUGCAUGAUCUUAGCGUAAUUUCCUGAAUGUCUAAAUUAUCAUUUUUAUUAGCGUGCCAUAAUUGUGAAUUUUCAUAUCCCUCGUUUUGUGCUCUACACAUGAAAUUAAGCUUGGUUUGUGAUGAGUAUAUAAUGAUUAGGCUAUAUAAUUGCUUCCUAGUGAAACUUUUGGACCCAAUAUUAGCCUUCUUGAUUAUUUGGACCUUGAAAGAAUUGACUUAGGCCAAAAAAUAAAAAUAAAAACCUAGCCCAAAACUUAAAACCUCAAACUUGAUGGGACUUUUCAUUCCUGCGCGUGGGAUGACAACAACGUAGUGACUGUUAUUUUUUUCCAGCGUUAAUUCACUCUCCUAAGAAAGCUCUGCAUAUUUUGUUCGAGUGGAGAAUAAUGGCAUCAAUAUUUUCUCUUCUUCCUUCCUAAAACAAAUGAAAUAAAACUUCCUUCCCCUUCUUAUCUUUAUGGUAGCUUAGUGCCACCGAAUUUUUUUUAUUUGUUUUAUCAGCUUGAUUUUGAUAUGGACACUCGGAUGGCCUUUUUUUAUGGGCUUAUUGAUUAUUUGUAAGGAAAAUUAAUGAAAAUAACUUAAAAAUUUUGAGUUUUAACGAUAAGGACAAAAUAAAGGAUAAAGUAAAUAGUACUAUGUUUGACUUUUUAGUGUAAAAAUGUGAUUUUUGUUAAAGUGAACAGUACCGCGAGCUUUUCGUUAAAACUUCCUUAUUUUAAUGCUUGCCGACAUGGUGGGAAAAAGAACAAUGCACAUUUUUUUUUAAUUUUUAUUGUUAUUAGAAUGAAUAGUUCAAAAUUAUUACAAUAAUUUAAGAAAUGGGAGUUCCGAAACUACAACAAUGUGCAUAAGAUGGUACUGAUGAAAAGAAGCUUGUGGCGCUAAGAACCAGGUGCUUGAUGUUUAUAUUUUUUAUUAUUCCAUGAAAUCCUUCCAUUCUAUUGAAAAGCAGAGUCCUUAAAUAGCUUGAAAUUGUUCUUACUAUGAUAUAAAGCGCACGCCUUGCCCGAAGCUCGUUGAGCAUAAAACUCUCUAUUGGUGAGACAUGAUUUAUGACAUUGGCAUGCCUGUUGGCUUUUUGUUUGAGAAAUUGGAUGGGCUGUGCGAUACAAUGUUCGGGUAGGAAGGAUAAAGGCACCUUUGCUCAGUUCAUCAAAGGAAAUGUGUGAAGGAAGCUCAUUGGGAAGCAGCUGACUGCCUAAAGUUGGCUGUUUAUUCUUAUUCAUUUUCAAUGUCUGCUAGCUCUAACAAUAUUUAUAUUUCUUUUGCAAUAUUUUGGACUUUUGCGUUGUAACGACCCGUCCCCAAAUAUUACGGUUUUAUAAUUUUAAAGUGUUAAUUUACAAAAAUAUCAUCUGAGGCGAAAAACGUUGACUUUUGUUGACUGUCUUGUUGUGUCACAUAAGGCUUUUUUUCUUGGUGUAUCCUUGUAGUACUCAUCAUUACGGACGCAUGGGAACGAGCAUAAUCGAAUUUGGAGCUAGAACAGAGAUUUUACGAAAUUCUGAACGAUAAUGGCAUUCCAGUAAUUUUAUGUUCUGCAAGAUAUUUUCCCCGAUUCGUCUUUUCUUGCAUUGUUUAGUGUGCCAGUGGGGCCCACCCCUUUUUUUGCCUCCCGACCCUCUCUCUCUCUCUCUCUCUCUCUCUCUUUCUCCUUCUCUUCUUCCAUCUCUUUUCCUUUCUUCUUCCCGAAAACUCUCCCUCUCUUCUCUCAUCUCUCUCUUCCUUCCUCUGUGACAACCUGUCCCGAUUUAUUUUACAGGUUUUAUGGAACGAAAGGUUAGUUUCGUAAUUUCACUUUGGUUUUAAAGAUAUUUUUGAAAGGGGUUUGUUUUAGACCUUAAAUAGUGUGCCCAAAGGGGCCCACCCCUAAUUUUCUGUCCCCUGGUUCCCUUCUCCCUCACUUUAUUUCCUUCUCUCUUUUCUCCCCCAAGCUCUUAACUCACACUCUCUAUCGGAUCCCUCAGUCCCCUUUUCCCUGAGGACCAACACACUCAUACCAACACUGAUAGGAGCAUAUUUAUGCGACUGAGUUAGCUUGUUCUCAUGCAUUUAUGUUGUUAUUUCUUAGUUAAUUAUGUAUUUUAAGCUAUUUUCGUGUGUUUCCAUAGGCCUUAUAAAGCAAUAAGAUGCAUUUUGGAGCAGUUUUGGGCUUGGAAUGAAUAGCACAUGCAUGGAGCAAGGUGGAUGGACGAAAUUGAAGACUAAAGAGGUUAGGAAUGUGUUAAAGAGAAAGAAUAAUUAAUGUAAAAAGGACAAAGAGCUCAGCCACAAAGGGGUGUCACUCCACCAUUCACCUUUCCAUCAUUGCCAUGCACCACUAUUGCACUCCUUUUGGAUUCCUAUGCCAUGCAUCAUCAUCCAUGUUCCCUCCAUUGACUCAUUUGUUGCAUCAUUUCACUUCAUUUCCUUUGUCUACCAUGUGCACAAUAUCCUUUCACCUCCUUGCACUCAUUGAUUCACCACUUACUCACCUUUCCACCCAUGCCAUGCAUAACCACCCUUGUCCCCUUCAUUAUUUCAGAUUUCAUGCAUCAUUACAUUGAAUCAUUGCACUCAAUUGCUACACCAUUCCUUGUUCCCUCCAUCAUUUCAGAUUUCAUGCAUCAUUACAUUGAAUCAUUACACUCAAUUGCUACACCUCAUUGCACUCAAUUUCUACACCACUCCUUGUUCCCUCCAUCAUUUCAGAUUCAUGCAUCAUUACAUUGAAUCAUUGCACUCAAUUGCUACACCAUUCCUUGUUCCCUUCAUUUUAGAUUUCAUGCAUCAUUGCACUCAAUUGCUACACCACUCCAUGUUCCCCUCCAUUGCCAUGCACUUCCUCUAUAAAAGGAAGUGUGUGUAACAUAAAUUUAGCUUAGUUUUUGCUUGAUCAUUCAUCCCCAUUUCAAUACAACCUUCAUCUAAACACAUCCAUUCAUCUUCACAUCCAUUUCUCCAUACAAACAAACCUUCAAACACUCACCAACACCUUGUGUCGUAGCAAAGGAAGGGAAGGAAAGUGCUUGGAUGUGCUUGCUGUCCAACUUGGAUCGUUGGAGUGUUUGGGUGUUUUCUUUCUUUUGUUUCUAAUGUUUAAAUUCAUUUCCUUUCGUUUUGUUGUAAAUAUAAGUGGCUAAACCCCUCUUGGCUAGGGGUGAUUUCAAAGCCAUGAUUAUGUGUGCAAUAUAAUUUGAUAAAUUCCAGUUAUGAACUCUUGAAUCGUGAAUGCAAUUGGCUUAACUAUUUGAUUGAUAAUUUAUUUGUAUUUUUUAAUUAAGGGUCGACACUUAAUUGGCAUGCAUAAAUCCGUUGCUAGAAUAUAAGGAAGUUUCACAUAAUCGUUACAAACUUAUAUUCACAUGUAGUGAAGGUCGCUUAUAAACGAUCGCGUUAAGUUCAAUUCCUAGCAUAAGCAACAUGAUGUCAUAUUUGCAAGUGCUUUGUCAAUGUUUAUGAUUUUCAUUAAACGUAAUGAUCUUUGAUUGUAUCUCUAUUAUGAUGUCAUGUAGGGAACUUUUGAAGAAUGUUUUGGGUUGUCGAAUGAUGUCAUCCAAUCCAAUAAAACAAGAAAAAUCUGAUAGUUAACUAGUGAUGUCAUGAUUAAUUUGGAGCAUUGUCGUUCAUAAUUCAAUGAAGUAGUAACUGGAAAUCGAGUUAUUUGCAUACAUGUCAUGUGUGGAGAAAAAGCCUCUAUCUAUCCCAUCCAUCAUCUUAUUUCUCAAAAUUAUUUUAAAAUCUGUCUAGUUUUUCAUACUUGUUUGUUUGUUUCAACUUCAUUGAUGCGAAAUAUAUAAGCACACAAAUUAAACCCUCUUUUUGUCAAUUGUAGUAAAGAAUGUAAGUAGGGAUCG